GUUUUUCUAUAAGAAAAAUCUAUGUCAAGAACUGGGUACUCACUGACUGUAUAGAAAGAGGAGGUACAGUAAAUGCACCCCACAUACACCUCAACCCAGGCCCUUUGCCUGGUCUGUAUUGGAAUUGGGGGACAAAA